CAUGGAGUAGAUCAGUGGCAGAUCGCCCGGCUGUUACCGGGAGGGCGCAGGUUCGAUUCCUGCCUCCAUGUCCA
rnacentral:tRNA from 1 species